rnacentral:lncRNA from 1 species
AUUGAUUGUUUUUCAAUUUAAUCUCCAAGUGGGAGAAUGUCAAAAUUGGCUGCAUCUAGAAGCUUUGACAAGAAUGGUUGGCAUGGCUGCAUCUAGAAGCUUUGACAAGAAUGGUUGGCACUUGGUUUUGAAUUCUAGAUGCCGUAAUGUUUGGUAUUAGAAAAGAAAAAUUCAAAGUUUGAAAUUUGUAAGUUGUAUGGCUUGAGGUUUUGGCCACGUGUUUGACAUUUGAG